CGCCUGUGGAGGCCUCGUUUGUUCAGGGGCUGCCGGCCAGGGCUUCAGGACGUUUCUGCGGCUUUCCCCGCGCGGCCUGGGCUCCCGCGGCUGCUUUUCGGGCCCAUGGGCGCAGCCACUGCGCCAGGCUCAAGGGGGGCGGCCCCGUCAGGGCCCGCCAUCUUGGAAGGCCUUUUUUGCCGGUUCUUCCCGCUGAGGAAGUGUCGCUCAAGACGCUGGCCUAUGAGUUGUGAUUUCUGCCUUUUCCCCUUCCUCCUUGGGCUAAGCCAGACCAGAAAGGGCCCCGUGCGCAACGUGCUUCACAAUCUCUCAGGGAAAGCGGCUAACGUGGCGCUACUCCGCCUCCCCUGUUCCUUACCCUUGGGGCGGCCGCCAUGUUUCCUGAACACAAAAUGGCGACACGUGGUUAGCAUUCGUCGCCAACGAGAAAUUGGGGUCGGCCCGAAAGCUCUAGAAUGCACCCCUCUUCCUCCCCGGGGCCUUCCACCUCCGCGAGUUUUAUGACUUAAAAAAGCCCACAGGCUGGUCUGAAGGUCGGAGGCCUAAUUUUAACGCGUUUUCCUCCCUUUAAUUUGAAACGGGAACGCGAAUGACUGUAAAAUGUGGGCACAAUAUUUAAUCUCUCGCCUUUUUAAAGCUUAAUAGUGGAUAAUAGGGGGGCAGUAUCAAGGGAUAAUUUGGGUCCCCACAGUACCAAAGCAUUUAGAAACCUCUGUUUAAUUUAAGGAAUGAGAUAAGUUACUGCUUUUCUAGACUUCCUAGCAUGGGCUGUUGUGCUGGAGAGAACGAGAGCUACGAAGAGACUACAGUGCCUCUGACUUUUUCAUAGGACAGUUGGCCGGUGAAUCUUAUUAAUAGUUUACCACAAUUAAGUGUUCAUUUUUAGUCUAGAAGGGACAGGCGUUUAUUGUGCAUUGGCCAGUGCCAGCACAUCCGAUGCAAGGCAGUUCACCGUAUUCUAUCUUUAAUUUUUACCAUGGUCCUCUGAGGUAGGUGUUCUUAUCUCUCUCUCUCUCUCUCUCUUUUAAACAGAGGAAGACAAACAUAAAGAUGAAGUGCUUAAUUCAAGGUCACACAAUGUCGGGGAUGGACCUCCAGAUUUCCUUACUGACCUGCAUUAUCUUGUGGAUACCUGAGUGAAUUCCACACCACCCAUUUUAUAGAUGAAACCACUGAGACAUGGAGCAAUUGACUGAGUAGUCACUGCCCCACCCCUGCCUGGAGCCUCACACAUGACUCGCCUCCUCUCAGUGACCACAGGUGAGACGUGGUCUUGUAACACAGUGGUUAAGAAUGUGACUUUGGAGCCAGCCUGCUAGGGGCUGAAUUCUGACUCAGCCAUUUACUAACUGUGUGACCUUAGGUAAGUCAUUUACCUUCUUUGUCCCUCAGUUUCAUCUCGGUUAAGUAGGGAUAAUGAUAGCACCUAUUUUAUAGGGUUAUUGUGAGGAAUAAAUCCAAGUAAAAUGCUUAGAAUAGUAACUGAAACAUAGCACUCAUUAGGAAUGCUUUAAUUUUCAUUUAUUUGAGUAUUAAAGGUUGAAUUUUCAGAGGUAUUUUGGACCUUUGUAUUUUUUCUUUAAAUCACUUAUUCAUGACUUUUGAACUUUUUUUUUUCUUUUAGAGACAGGGUCUUGGUUUGUUGUCUAGGCUGGAAUGCAGUGGUGCAAUCAUAGCUCACUGUAGCCUUGAACUCUUGGGCUCAAGAGAUCCUCCUGCCUCAGCCUCGUGAGUAGCUGGGCCUACAGGCGCCUGCUACCACACCUGGCUAAUUUUUUAUUUUUUGUAGAGAUGGGUUCUUGCAGCCCAGACUGGUCUUGAGCUUUGGCCUGAAGUGCUCCUCCUGCCUUGGCCUCUCAAAGCAUUGGGGUUACAGGUGUGAAGCACUGCACCUUGCCUACACAUUUUUUCCAAUAAUUUUUUUUAUUAAUUUGUAAGAGUUAACAUGUCGACUAUCAUAUAUAACAUAGAAUUGUUCCCAUUUUGUCAUUUCCUUUCAACUUUGUCUAUGUAGCUUUUUUUCUGUGUGCAAAUUUUACAUUUUUAGGUAGUCAGAAAAUCUCUUCCCUUGUAAUUUUUUCUGCUACUAGACCAAUGUUUAGAAAAAAGCGUGCUUCCCCACCUCAAAAUUAUAAAAAUAGUUACUUGUUCUUUUUGAGUACUGUGUGUGUUUAAAUCUUUAAUCUUUAAAUUUAAAUCUUUGAUCCAUCUGGUAUUUAUUUUGAUAUGAAGAGAGUGGUUGGGAUCUGGCUGUAUUUCUUUUUUCUUUUUUUUUCUUUUUUCUUUUUUUGACGAAGUCUCACUGUUGCUCAGGCUGGAGUGCAAUGGCAUGAUCUCGGCUCAUCACAACCUCUGCUUCCUGGGUUCAAGCGAUUCUCCUGCCUCAGCCUCCCGAGUACCUGGGACUACAGGCACUCGCCACCAUGCCCGGCUGAUUUUUGUAUUUUUAAUAGAGAUGGUUUCACUAUGUUGGCCAGGCUGGUCUCGAACUCCUGACCUUGUGAUCUGCCCACCUCAGCCUCGAAAAGUGCUGGGAUUACAGGCGUGAGCCACUGCGCCCAGCCUUGUAUUUUUUUUCAGUUUGGGUAGCUGUCCCUAAUUCAUUUGUUAAAGGAGAAGCAAGAGCAAGAACCUUUAAUCUGUUCUCCUCUUCCCUAAUUUGAAAGUAGCUUGUUAUUUUGAAUAUCACUUUCUCUGAAAUAGCACAUCUCCAUCUCAGAGAAUGGAUUUAAUGUUUGGAUACAGCCAAAAGUCAUUUCAUUACCAAACCAUGGGGUGAAUAUACCAUGUAAAGCAGUUUGGGAUCAGAACUCACAGUCUGAAUUGUAAGUGAUGAGACUGCUGUCUCUCUGCUACAGCUUCUUGGCUGGCUCUGAAGGCUCUUUGAAGGCAGAUCCUAACAAGGGGACUGCUUUGAAGGGCCAUUGUUCAUUUGGAAUGAUAAAGUCUAUGUUGUUCAAAAAACAAAUGCUUGUAGCAGGUAUUUUUUCACUCCAGACUGAGAAUAUUGGUGGGAUAUUGAUAAGGGGUACUGAAUGGUAAUAAACAUGUGCUCUAGCUCUGUGCUAGUCAGCUUAUUUCAGAACUCUAGUUUGAUUCAGUUUCUUGCCUCUGACUCAAAAUGGAGGGAGAGUGAUUUUUACAUAAGAGAACACACCCACAUAUCCUUUUGGCAGCAGCUACCUGCCAGAGAUGUUGAAGAAGAGUAGCCAACCUUUACACAGCAGAUAUUGUGUGCCAGUCAUAGUCCUAAGUAUAAUACCUUACAUGUAUAAACUUCUUAUAAG
ensembl:lncRNA PCBP1-AS1 PCBP1 antisense RNA 1